rnacentral:tRNA from 1 species
AGUUAGGUAAGCUAACUAAGCUAUUGGGCCCAUACCCCAAGUAUGUAGGUUAAAACCCUGCCCUAACAA